ACAUUACUACAUUUAUUGAAUAUUUAUCGAAAUCAAGUUGAAGUUUUCAUUUUGGUAAAUAUUUAAUAAAUGCUCUAAUGUUAAUAAAAUUUCGAGACCGACUCGUGACGUAUAGUGGGGCUGUUUUCAUCGUCGUGUUUACAAUUAGUCUGUACGCCUCAUGUCCCUUCUCUUGCGCACAUUCCGCACGCACAUUGUUGCUCCCCACUCCUCGCACUUUUUCAAGUCGACAUCGGCACGUCCUUGUCCUUGUUAUUGUCCUGUUAUUAUUCGCACGGCGGCACUUGUACGGGACAGAUGUUUCAUAUCUGUAUUUUAUCAUCUCCAAUAAUUCUACCUUUACUACUUUCCGCAUUUUUCGAUCUCAUUCUUUUCUAUCGUUAUCUGUUACGAACACGGCAGUGUCGAACGUGUCCGUAUCCGUGCGAUAAUAUUCGAGUCCACUUUUGUCUUAAAUGACGAAAUACGCGUCGGUAGUGCCGUUUAAAACAUCGCGCGAUUUUCGUGAACGCGUGUGAGUGCCUUUGAAGAACUGCAAAGAAGACUGAGAGGAGGAGGAGGCUCAGGAAGGGCAUCGGGCACCAGCGAAGCAACUUUAGAGUCAACUUUGAACAACAACUCCGCUGCUACGCAUCGUACCGCUUAACGCUCUUGACUGGAACGUGACGGGCAGCAAUAUGCUUGCGUGAUAGCAGCUAGUCCAUUAUGCGCGUUUAUGAAUGCAAAUGGGUUAAAGAUGGCCAUGAACGCGCAUGAAGGACGU